rnacentral:rRNA from 1 species
AAGUCCUUCGGGAUGAGUACAGUGGCGCACGGGUGAGGAACGCGUAGGUAACCUACCCUCCGGCGGGGGACAACACUCCGAAAGGAAUGCUAAUACCGCAUAAGACCACACUUACUCAGGUGAGAGUGGUAAAAGGUGGCCUCUUCUUGAAAGCUACCACCGGGGGAUGGGCCUGCGUCCCAUCAGCUUGUUGGUGAGGUAAUGGCUUACCAAGGCGAAGACGGGUAGCUGGUCUGAGAGGAUGAUCAGCCACACUGGCACUGGAACACGGGCCAGACUCCUACGGGAGGCAGCAGUGAGGAAUAUUGGGCAAUGGGCGAAAGCCUGACCCAGCCACGCCGCGUGUGUGAUGAAGGCCUUCGGGUCGUAAAGCACUGUGGGGAGAGACGAAAAACCUUCGUUCGAAUAGGGCGGAGGCUUGACGGUACCUCCUUAGCAAGCACCGGCUAACUCUGUGCCAGCAGCCGCGGUAAUACAGAGGGUGCGAACGUUGCUCGGAUUUACUGGGCGUAAAGCGCGUGUAGGCGGGCUGGCAAGUCGGUUGUGAAAUCCCCGGGCUUAACCUGGGAAUGGCAUUUUGAACUGGCAGUCUAGAGUGUGUCAGAGGGGGGUGGAAUUCCACGUGUAGCAGUGAAAUGCGUAGAUAUGUGGAGGAACACCAAUGGCGAAGGCAGCCCCCUGGGAUAACACUGACGCUCAUGUACGAAAGCGUGGGUAGCAAACAGGAUUAGAUACCCUGGUAGUCCACGCCCU